ensembl:lncRNA
CUUAUCUGUCAGGAUCAGAUGCUCUCUGUCUGCUUCUUGAAUCAUGUUUACGAAUGUUGCCCUUCCACAAGUGGAGAACAGCAGUGCCCUUAUGACGUUGCUACUUCAGGCCUGCCGGCAAGACUUCGGUUCCUCGGCCUCCUGCCCCAUCUUUUAUGGAUCUCAGGAACUGCCUGUGAGGCAGGGUAAACUUCUGCAACGCUUCAUGAGUUGCACAAUACAAAGCAUGGAAGGCUCUAUCAUGUUUGAACAGGUUUCAGUGGGGCUGGCGUACAACCCUGCUCACAGAACAGUACAUUGUACAUCCUGUGCUGAAGAGUUAAUUUCCCUGCUAGCUGCUCUGCCACACCUAAGGCGAACUUUCUCCCCAAGCAGCAGGAGUCAGAGGCUGCACCCAGAGAGCACCCUGGAAAACAGAGGAGCAGCAGUAUACAUCACCAGAGGCUGCAGGAGAAUACUGGAAGCAGAGGAUGGGAUCUGCCGCCUGUACCAUGCAGCAAUCAGAGCUAUCCCUACUUGUUCUUUUGAGAUAAAACACACUUUUUAAUGCUUAGAUUUUAAUUACCUUUCUACUCAAUGUACAGGCUUGUAGAGGAGCCCACCCUGUUUUGUAUUUUCUUUAAAGGAUCCAUAAGUUCAAUACAAUGAGACCUAGCUUAGUAAAGAUAAGGAAAGGUUUCCCCAGGGAUGCUGUGGCAUGAAAGAGGUUUCUGUCAUGAUAUGGUCAUUCUAACAAAGCAGAGCAAUACAUGAGGGUUUCUCACCUUUAACUUGUUGGCAUUAUACAGCACAGACCUUCCACUAAUUGUUACAAAUUCAGAAUAAGAAAAAAUAAAUGAAAAACAGAAGUUGAAAUUGUGAGUUAAUGAGAGCAAAAUGUGGAGUGGGCUGCAGCAUUCUGUUUGUUAAAUACUGUUGUUCCUGGAUCAAAGAGAGUGAGGUAUCUAGCAAUUAUUUAAACCUGUUUUAAAACUUCCUUCAAGAAAAUUUACUAAGAGACCUCCUUCUCAUAUCACGAAUGGAUUUGUGGAAAGAUGUUUACCCCUCAGAAAGCCUCAUAGUUUGGCUUAUUACAGAGACAAAAAUCAAUAACAUGCAAACUCUCACCAGUGUUUUUCUCUUUAGGAUGAUUUAAAGGUUAACAAACUGUUUCCUUAACAGUUUUGAGGCUGGUGUCAUAGAAUCAUAGAAGCAUAGAAUGUCCUGGGUUGAAAAGGACCACAAUGAUCAUUGAGUUUCAACCCCCCUGCUAUGUGCAGGGUCACCAACCACCAGACCAGGCUGCCCAGAGCCACAUCCAGCCUGGCCUUGAAUGCCUCCAGGGAUGGAGCAUCCACAGCCUCCUUGGGCAACCUGUUCAGUGCGUCACCACCCUCUGGGUGAAAAACUUCCUCCUAAUAUCUAACCUAAGCAUCCCCUGUCUCAGUUUAAGACCAUUCCCCCUUGUCCUAUCACUAUCCACCCUUGUAAACAGCCGUUCCCCAUCCUGUUUAUACGCUUCCUUCCUGUAUUGGAAGGCCACAGUGAGGUCUGCCCAGAGCCUUCUCUUUUCCAGGCUGGUAGGUAGGGUGGUGUUCUGAUUACAAGGAUGAAACCCUGAAGAAGCUGAAGGAAGCUGAAGAAGUAUUUCCUUGUUUCUCAGGAAAUCCCUGUGGUCUGUUGUUAUGAACGUCUCUGUAUCCAACAAAGUACAGCAUUGGCUGGAACAGCGCAGGGUAAAACAAGCUGUGGCGAGCUGACUACCUAUUUGUUCAGACACCACACUAGGGAAAUAUAUUAUGCAGGAAAAAUAAAAGUAAUGGUUAUUUUUAAGGAAAUGCCAAGUUUUAGAGGGAAAACAGUAGCCUCAGCCUAAGAAAGAUUCUCAACUCUCUCCUCUGGAGAUAGUUAGACAAAAUAAAAAAUAAUCUAUCUUCCUGCCUAUGACUUCGUUCUGUAGUUACUGAAGUAAAGAGCAAUAUUCCCA